rnacentral:rRNA from 1 species
AUACGGAGGGUCCGAGCGUUAUCCGGAAUCAUUGGGUUUAAAGGGUCCGUAGGCGGGAAUCUAAGUCAGUGGUGAAAUCUUGCAGCUCAACUGUAAAAUUGCCAUUGAUACUGGAUUUCUUGGAUUAGUGUGAAGUGGUUAGAAUGUGUAGUGUAGCGGUGAAAUGCAUAGAUAUUACACAGAAUACCAAUUGCGAAGGCAGAUCACUAACACUAUAUUGACGCUAAGGGACGAAAGCGUGGGGGGCGAACAGGAUUAGAAACCCCGGUAGUCC